ACUCAAAUGAAUUGACGGGGAGGCACACAACCAGUGGAACAUGUGGUUCAAUUCGAAACGAACCGAAGAACCUCACCAGGGUUUGACAUCCAAGAGUUCACGCUCUGAUGAAAGUCGGAGUAUCCGCAAGGAGGCUUGGACAGGUGCUGCAUGGCUGUCGUCAGCUCGUUCCGUGAGGAGUACCCUUAAGUGGGACAACGAGCGCAACCCCCAUCUGCUGUUAAAUAUGUCAGCAGAGACUGCCCGAACUUAGUUCGGGAGGAAGGAGGGGCAGACGUCAAGUCAGCAUGGCCCUUAUACCCUGGGCCACACACAUGUUACAAUGGAUAGAAACAGUGGGUUUGCUAAGUCGCAAGAUGGAGCGAAUCCCAAAAACCUAUCCUCAGUAGGGAUUGAGGUCUGCAACUCGACCUCAUGAACAUGGAAUUGGUAGUAAUCGCAGAUCAGUCAUGCCGCGGUGAAUACGUUCUUGCCUCUUGCACACACCGCCCGU
rnacentral:rRNA from 1 species